GAUAAGAUCUGAUCCAAUAAGUAACAAUGACAAGGUGAAGAGAACAAAGCCUUAGUCUCUCACUCUCUCACUCUCUCACUCUGAAAAGUGAAAACCCUAAUCUCACUCUCACGCGGCGCCGCUCACUCACCGGUUGGUCUCCACUAACCCACCGCCCACCGCUCUGCUCGUCGGCCUCCAUUCAAAUGGAAGAACAAGUUGAUGCGAUUGUGAAUGUGGAUGAUAUUUCACCCUCACCCUUAGCUGCUUCACCAGGAACUCAAGAUUCCAACCAAAUUGAUGCUUAGAUAACAUAUUCAACUAGCUGAACAAUUAUUAUUGUGUUGUAAUGUAUUUGAAUUUAGUUUUAUGUCGGAUUUGGUUUGGUUAUGUGAUAAACUUUAAUUUCAGAUUUGAUGAUGUAUAAUAUUAAGCCUUGUGACUUAUGACAGGGCAUUAAUUAAUGGCAAAUAUUGCCACUUUGCCAGUUUGAGAUAUUAAGCAGAUUGUCUUAAAAAAUUA